CGCGAUGCCGAAGAUUGAGUUCCGGCACCCAUCCGCGGAACCCAUCGUGAUUCCAUUUCCGGCACCCAUCCGCCUGUUCCGAUCAUGAAGGGUACCAAGCCGAUUCCGGGGAGGCACCCACUUGUUGGCACUCCCGUGCACAAAGGUGAAAGAUCGUCGGAUUUGACGACAAAAACCAGGAGCGUGAGUGCUAGUAGAGUUCAUCCGAGAGGCUCGUGAGAGAGGAACGAUGACGGUGUUGUUGUUAUUCAACCGACUGUUCUGAAUUUGGAAUCCGGCACCUGCACGCCGAUGAAGAGAGGGAGGAAAAUGCCAUUGGAUGGGGAGAGAAGGAAGUCAGGGAUGAUCAUAAAUAAUACGUUGCGAAGUUCAGUCAAUCGAAGUCUUGUUUUGACGAAAUCAACCAAUUCCAAUAAAGACGAUGAUGGAAUAUCGUCUCUGGUUAAAAAAAGCUUCAGUUCAUCCCACUUUUUCUGAA
rnacentral:lncRNA from 1 species